rnacentral:rRNA from 1 species
UGGGGAAUAUUGGGGCAAUGGGCGCAAGCCUGACCCAGCAACGCCGCGUGAAGGAAGAAGGCUUUCGGGUUGUAAACUUCUUUUCUCAGGGACGAAGAAAGUGACGGUACCUGAGGAAUAAGCCACGGCUAACUACGUGCC